GCCGUUUUGCUUAAUGGACGAAUUUUUCAAAAUGUUUUCGGUCCAGUUUAAAUAAGUUUAUGAACAACUGGUUAACUGCUGCAGAAGAAACAUUCACAGAGUUUAAAGAAAUAACCGUCAAGUCGGAGGAAGAGAUGGAUGAUCAGCGCAGACUGCUGGAUUUUUUCCGGACUCCCCAGAUAAUCUUACACCGAAUAGAUCGCCGACGACAUAACAUUUAUAAGGAGAAGCCAUGUGACCAGGAGAGGAGCUCCACUCUGGACCAGGAGGAGUUAGAACCUUUGCAGGGGAAACAAGAACAGGAAGAGCCAGAGGAUCACAAACAUCAACAGAGAAAAGUGGGAGAGAAAGAAGUUGACUGCAGUCAGAGUGAAGAACAGGUUGCAUCAAAACAGGAGAGUGAUACCUUCAUGGUGGCUACAGCUUAUGAG